AUGCAAGUCGAGCGGGGGAAGGUAGCUUGCUACCGGACCUAGCGGCGGACGGGUGAGUAAUGCUUAGGAAUCUGCCUAUUAGUGGGGGACAACAUCUCGAAAGGGAUGCUAAUACCGCAUACGUCCUACGGGAGAAAGCAGGGGAUCUUCGGACCUUGCGCUAAUAGAUGAGCCUAAGUCGGAUUAGCUAGUUGGUGGGGUAAAGGCCUACCAAGGCGACGAUCUGUAGCGGGUCUGAGAGGAUGAUCCGCCACACUGGGACUGAGACACGGCCCAGACUCCUACGGGAGGCAGCAGUGGGGAAUAUUGGACAAUGGGGGGAACCCUGAUCCAGCCAUGCCGCGUGUGUGAAGAAGGCCUUAUGGUUGUAAAGCACUUUAAGCGAGGAGGAGGCUACUUUAGUUAAUACCUAGAGAUAGUGGACGUUACUCGCAGAAUAAGCACCGGCUAACUCUGUGCCAGCAGCCGCGGUAAUACAGAGGGUGCGAGCGUUAAUCGGAUUUACUGGGCGUAAAGCGUGCGUAGGCGGCUUAUUAAGUCGGAUGUGAAAUCCCCGAGCUUAACUUGGGAAUUGCAUUCGAUACUGGUGAGCUAGAGUAUGGGAGAGGAUGGUAGAAUUCCAGGUGUAGCGGUGAAAUGCGUAGAGAUCUGGAGGAAUACCGAUGGC
rnacentral:rRNA from 2 species